CGCGCCCCCCCCGGCGCCUAGGAAACGAGAUGCGGCGGUGGUGGAGUUUGAAAAUCCAGACACUCCGUGAAGAAUAAAAGGACCAUCGAAGACAAGCAGUGAUCGCCAAUUAGAUCAGUGCGCUCAUUCUGAUAUCCAAGGAAUGCAUUCUGGCCAAAUAGUGAUGGAAGAAGAGGAGGUGAAACAGCAGGAAGACAUGGAUGAAAAAAAACACUGUCGCUCUCUCUUUAAAGUGACCCCCAACUCCAGAACUUCUUCCAUGCCCGACAAAGCACUUUCCCAAAGCCUGGUCCUCACAACAACAAGGAGGUUGUUCUUGGUAUGAAGAUAGCUCAUUGUUUCCAAAAGGAUACUCUGAUGAAUACUGUUCUAGACAGAUGCAGCUGCAACAGAAUAGCUCCAGCAACAAGUUCAGAAAAUUACCCAGAGAUAAUGGGAACUGCAGAUGCUGGAGAAUCCGAGAUAACAAAGUGUGGAGCUGGAUGAACACAACAGACCAAGCAGCAUCUCAGGAGCACAAAAGCUGACGCUUCAGGCCUAGACCCUUCAUCAGAAAAGCUCUUAUUUCAGAAAAUUACCCAGAUGUUUUCAAAGUAUUAUUGCUUUCCCCAAGGCAAGGAAAAUUGUGGAAAGUAACUUCUCGGAGAAAAGAUAAUUGUAGUUACAUCCUUGCUUUCUUUUCACCCUAUUUCACACUCCUCUACAUACGUUAAAUUGCAACCUGACUAAUCAUAAGAAUGUUGCUAUGUUGAAUUCUCAUAAACUGACAACAAAUGAUGCCAAUUUGUCUGGACCCAAUGUCCCCAACAACACUUACCAUUGUACAUUGUAUCUCAAACAAUGAUGAGACAGUCUAUGGGAAGGAGAUAUGGUGCUUAACAGCAUGGUGUAAAGACAACAAUCACUCUGUCAAUGUCAGCAGAAUGAAGAAACUUAUCACUGGUUUCAUGAAAUGGAGUGGAGGGCACACCCGUAUCUGCAUCAGUGUUGCUCAGGUGGAGAUGAUCAGAAGUAUCAAGUUCCUGGGAGUGAUGAUCACCAGCAAUCUGUCCUGGUCUGCCCACAUUGACACUAUGGUCGAGAAAGCACAGCAAUGCCUCUAUUUCCGCAGGAGGCUAAGGAACUUCAGCAUGUCAAUAAAGACUGAAAGAAACUAUAGAGUUGUAAACACAGCUAAUCCAUCAUGCAAACCAGCCUCCCAUCUACUGACUUCAUCCACACUUGCUGCUGCAUCAUGAAAAUGACCAACAUAAUCAAAACCCAUCCCACCCCACUUCUACUCUCUUCCAUCCUCUUCGGUCAGGCAAAAGUUAUAAAAGUUUGUAUACCUACAUGGAAAGCUUCUUCCCAGCUGUUAUCAGACUUUUGAAUGGACCUCUUUAAUCUUAAUGUUGAUCUCUCUGUGCAUUGUCUCGGCAGCUGUAAUAUAGUAUAAUGCACUCUGCUCCGUUAUUCUGAGACAUUUGUAUGGUAGGAUCUGCCUCUAAAGUAUGUAAGGUAACACUUUUCACUGUGUCUUAGCACACAUGACAGUAAUGAAUAAAAUCAAAAAAGUAACAUUGUU